AGUGAACGCUGGCGGUAGGCCUAACACAUGCAAGUCGAACGGCAGCACAGUAAGAGCUUGCUCUUACGGGUGGCGAGUGGCGGACGGGUGAGGAAUACAUCGGAAUCUACUUUUUCGUGGGGGAUAACGUAGGGAAACUUACGCUAAUACCGCAUACGACCUACGGGUGAAAGCAGGGGAUCUUCGGACCUUGCGCGAUUGAAUGAGCCGAUGUCGGAUUAGCUAGUUGGCGGGGUAAAGGCCCACCAAGGCGACGAUCCGUAGCUGGUCUGAGAGGAUGAUCCGCCACACUGGAACUGGGACACGGUCCAGACUCCUACGGGAGGCAGCAGUGGGGAAUAUUGGACAAUGGGCGCAAGCCUGAUCCAGCCAUACCGCGUGGGUGAAGAAGGCCUUCGGGUUGUAAAGCCCUUUUGUUGGGAAAGAAAAGCAGCAGGUUAAUACCCCGCUGUUCUGACGGUACCCAAAGAAUAAGCACCGGCUAACUUCGU
rnacentral:rRNA from 1 species